UACGGAGGAUCCAAGCGUUAUCCGGAUUUAUUGGGUUUAAAGGGUGCGUAGGUGGCCUGUUAAGUCAGGGGUGAAAGACGGUAGCUUAACUAUCGCAGUGCCCUUGAUACUGAUGGGCUUGAAUGAACUGGAGGUAGGCGGAAUGUGACAAGUAGCGGUGAAAUGCAUAGAUAUGUCACAGAACACCAAUUGCGAAGGCAGCUUACUAUGGUUUUAUUGACACUGAGGCAUGAAAGCGUGGGGAUCAAACAGG
rnacentral:rRNA from 1 species